GGGCGCGUAGGGUAGUCUGGAUAUCCUUAGGGCUUCCGGAGCCUUGGACACGAGUUCGAAUCUCGUCGCGCCCG
rnacentral:tRNA from 1 species